GGGAAGGUGGCUCAGUGGUAGAGUGCUUGCCUUGCAUGCAUGAGGCCCUGGAUUCAAAUCCUCAGUACCA
rfam:Dipodomys ordii contig_67962, whole genome shotgun sequence.